rnacentral:rRNA from 1 species
AGAGAGAGACAUGCGCGCAUAUCAAUAAGCGGAGGAAAAGAAACUAACAAGGAUUCCCUUAGUAACGGCGAGUGAAGCGGGAAGAGCUCAAAUUUGAAAUCUUCAAGGUUUUACCUUGACGAAUUGUAGUUUAAAGAAGUGUUUUCUGCUGAAGUUUUGGUAAAAGUUCUUUGGAAUAGGACAUCAUAGAGGGUGAGAAUCCCGUAUUUGACCAUUAUUUUCAGCUUUGUGAUACACUUUCAAAGAGUCGGAUUGUUUGGGAAUGCAGUCCAAAAUGGGUGGUAAAUUUCAUCUAAAGCUAAAUAUUGGCGAGAGACCGAUAGCGAACAAGUACCGUGAGGGAAAGAUGAAAAGAACUUUGAAAAGAGAGUUAAACAGUACGUGAAAUUGUCAAAAGGGAAGCGUUUGACACCAGUGUUGUUUUCUCGAAAAUCAAUUAAAAAUGGCUCGAUUUUGUAUUGUUGAGACCUUAAAAGCUCACUGUACAUUUUUCGUGUCUUUUUUAAUGCACUUUUCGUUAACAAGUCAACAUCAGUUUCUUUUGUUGUAAAAGGGUCAUUGGAAGGUGGCUUUCUUUUCGGAGAAAGUGUUUAUAGCCUUUGGCCUCUGCAAUCGGAGAGACUGAGGUCUGCAGCGUAGACUCUUCGGGGUUAGAUACAUUUGUGCUAAGUUAUAGCUUUUUAUAGACAACUUGUUGACUAUAAUUAGUCUUGUAGCUUACUCGCUUAUGCUAUUUUACCUACGCUUAGGAUGUUGAGUCGUAGAGCACGCAG